GAUGAACGCUGGCGGCGUGCCUAAUACAUGCAAGUCGAGCGAACAGACGAGGAGCUUGCUCCUCUGACGUUAGCGGCGGACGGGUGAGUAACACGUGGAUAACCUACCUAUAAGACUGGGAUAACUUCGGGAAACCGGAGCUCAUACCGGAUAACAUGUUGAACCGCAUGGUUCAACAGUGAAAGACGGUCUUGCUGUCACUUAUAGAUGGAUCCGCGCCGCAUUAGCUAGUUGGUAAGGUAACGGCUUACCAAGGCAACGAUGCGUAGCCGACCUGAGAGGGUGAUCGGCCACACUGGAACUGAGACACGGUCCAGACUCCUACGGGAGGCAGCAGUAGGGAAUCUUCCGCAAUGGGCGAAAGCCUGACGGAGCAACGCCGCGUGAGUGAUGAAGGUCUUCGGAUCGUAAAACUCUGUUAUUAGGGAAGAACAAAUGUGUAAGUAACUAUGCACGUCUUGACGGUACCUAAUCAGAAAGCCACGGCUAACUACGUG
rnacentral:rRNA from 1 species